rnacentral:piRNA from 1 species
UUGGUGUUGGAAAUAAUUGACUUUGCUGAGA